rnacentral:rRNA from 1 species
UGAGGAAUAUUGGUCAAUGGGCGGGAGCCUGAACCAGCCAAGCAGCGUGAAGGAUGAAGGUUCUAUGGAUUGUAAACUUCUUUUACAGGGGAAUAAAGUGCACCACGUGUGGUGUUUUGUAUGUACCCUAUGAAUAAGGACCGGCUAACUCCGUGCCAGCAGCCGCGGUAAUACGGAGGGUCCAAGCGUUGUCCGGAUUUACUGGGCGUAAAGGGAGCGUAGGUGGACUUUUAAGUGAGAUGUGAAAUACCGAGGCUCAACUUCGGGGCUGCAUUUGAAACUGUAUAUCUUGAGUGUCGGAGAGGAAAGCGGAAUUCCUAGUGUAGCGGUGAAAUGCGUAGAUAUUAGGAGGAACACCAGUGGCGAAGGCGGCCUGCUGGGCUUUUACUGACGCUGAGGCUCGAAAGUGUGGGUAUCAAACA